rnacentral:rRNA from 1 species
UACAGAGGUCCCAAGCGUUGUUCGGAUUCAUUGGGCGUAAAGGGUGCGUAGGCGGCGCGGUAAGUCGGGUGUGAAAUCUCGGAGCUUAACUCCGAAACUGCAUUCGAUACUGCCGUGCUUGAGGACUGGAGAGGAGACUGGAAUUUACGGUGUAGCGGUGAAAUGCGUAGAUAUCGUAAGGAAGACCAGUGGCGAAGGCGGGGUCUCUGGACAGUUCCUGACGCUGAGGCACGAAGGCCAGGGGAGCGAACGGG